AACGAACGCUGGCGGCAUGCCUAACACAUGCAAGUCGAACGAGACCUUCGGGUCUAGUGGCGCACGGGUGCGUAACGCGUGGGAAUCUACCCCUGGGUUCGGAAUAACAGUUAGAAAUGACUGCUAAUACCGGAUGAUGACGUAAGUCCAAAGAUUUAUCGCCCAAGGAUGAGCCCGCGUAAGAUUAGCUUGUUGGUGGGGUAAUGGCCUACCAAGGCGACGAUCUUUAGCUGGUCUGAGAGGAUGAUCAGCCACACUGGGACUGAGACACGGCCCAGAAUCCUAAGGGAGGGAGCAGUGGGGAAUAUUGGACAAUGGGCGAAAGCCUGAUCCAGCAAUGCCGCGUGAGUGAUGAAGGCCUUAGGGUUGUAAAGCUCUUUUACCAGGGAUGAUAAUGACAGUACCUGGAGAAUAAGCUCCGGCUAACUCCGUGCCAGCCGCCGCCGUAA
rnacentral:rRNA from 1 species